rnacentral:rRNA from 1 species
AUUGAACGCUGGCGGCAUGCCUUACACAUGCAAGUCGAACGGCAGCGGGGGAGAAGCUUGCUUUUCCUGCCGGCGAGUGGCGAACGGGUGAGUAAUACAUCGGAACGUGCCCUGUAGUGGGGGAUAACUAGUCGAAAGAUUAGCUAAUACCGCAUACGACCUGAGGGUGAAAGGGGGGGACCGCAAGGCCGCAUGCUAUAGGAGCGGCCGAUGUCUGAUUAGCUAGUUGGUGGGGUAAAGGCCUACCAAGGCGACGAUCAGUAGCUGGUCUGGGAGGACGAUCAGCCACACUGGGACUGAGACACGGCCCAGACUCCUACGGGAGGCAGCAGUGGGGAAUUUUGGACAAUGGGCGAAAGCCUGAUCCAGCAAUGCCGCGUGUGUGAAGAAGGCCUUCGGGUUGUAAAGCACUUUUGUCCGGAAAGAAAUGGCUCUGGUUAAUACCUGGGGUCGAUGACGGUACCGGAAGAAUAAGGACCGGCUAACUACGUGCCAGCCGCCGCCGUAA